rnacentral:rRNA from 1 species
AUUGAACGCUGGCGGCAGGCUUAACACAUGCAAGUCGAGCGGUAACAGGGGGUGCUUGCACCCCGCUGACGAGCGGCGGACGGGUGAGUAAUGCAUAGGAAACUGCCCAGUAGUGGGGGAUAGCCCGGGGAAACCCGGAUUAAUACCGCGUACGCCCUUCGGGGGAAAGCAGGGGAUCUUCGGACCUUGCGCUAUUGGAUGUGCCUAUGUCGGAUUAGCUAGUUGGUGGGGUAAAGGCCUACCAAGGCGACGAUCCGUAGCUGGUCUGAGAGGAUGAUCAGCCACAUCGGGACUGAGACACGGCCCGAACUCCUACGGGAGGCAGCAGUGGGGAAUAUUGGACAAUGGGGGCAACCCUGAUCCAGCCAUGCCGCGUGUGUGAAGAAGGCUUUCGGGUUGUAAAGCACUUUCAGUGAGGAGGAAAACUCUGCGACUAAUACUCGUAGGGCUGACGU